rnacentral:rRNA from 1 species
AUGAUGACGCCGCCCUCGUCGCGGCCGCGGCACCGAGCGGCGAUCUCCUCGAGGGCGCGGCGCUGGUGCUCCAUCUCCUCGGACAUAGUCGUCCCGCGCCCAUUUGAGGGCGGUCUCGUCGGCGGCGGCCAUGUCGAUGUGCUCCUGUUUCACGACGACGGGCGGCAUCCCCGGCUCCCCCUUCGGCCUGACCAGGUGAAGAGGAGGGGAAGGCUAGCGGCGGCCCUCGUUUAUGACGAGGCCGCCGGCACGGCUGCGCCGACGCUCCGGCAUCUCCACGGGCUCGAGCUUGACGGGGCGAGCGGCGCCGCGUCGGAGGAGCGGGUGGAGGAGGAGCCACCCGUCAUGCGCCUCGGCAGCCAAGAGCUGCCGCUCCGGUGGGAGACUGGAGUCGCCUGGGGCGCCUAG